UCUGGUGGCCAUAGAGGCCUGGACCCACCCGAUCCCAUCCCGAACUCGGAAGUGAAACGGGCCCUCGCCGAUGGUAGUGCGACGAAAGGUCGCGUGAGAGUAGGUCGUCGCCAGUU
rnacentral:rRNA from 1 species